rnacentral:rRNA from 1 species
UACGUAGGGUCCGAGCGUUGUCCGGAAUUACUGGGCGUAAAGAGCUCGUAGGUGGUUUGUCGCGUCUGCUGUGAAAACUCGGGGCUUAACCCCGGGCCUGCAGUGGGUACGGGCAGACUAGAGUGCGGUAGGGGAGAAUGGAAUUCCCGGUGUAGCGGUGAAAUGCGCAGAUAUCGGGAGGAACACCGGUGGCGAAGGCGGUUCUCUGGGCCUUACCUGACGCUGAGGAGCGAAAGCGUGGGGAGCGAACAGG